rnacentral:rRNA from 1 species
ACUCCUACGGGAGGCAGCAGUGGGGAAUAUUGCACAAUGGGCGCAAGCCUGAUGCAGCCAUGCCGCGUGUAUGAAGAAGGCCUUCGGGUUGUAAAGUACUUUCAGCAGUGAGGAAGGCGGAGUCGUUAAUAGCGGCCUCGUUUGACGUUAGCUGCAGAAGAAGCACCGGCUAACUCCGUGCCAGCAGCCGCGGUAAUACGGAGGGUGCGAGCGUUAAUCGGAAUUACUGGGCGUAAAGCGCAUGCAGGUGGUUUGUUAAGUCAGAUGUGAAAGCCCGGGGCUCAACCUCGGAAUUGCAUUUGAAACUGGCAGACUAGAGUACUGUAGAGGGGGGUAGAAUUUCAGGUGUAGCGGUGAAAUGCGUAGAGAUCUGAAGGAAUACCGGUGGCGAAGGCGGCCCCCUGGACAGAUACUGACACUCAGAUGCGAAAGCGUGGGGAGCAAACAGGAUUAGAUACCCUGGUAGCACAGAG